rnacentral:rRNA from 1 species
CUCAGUUCGGAUUGGAGUCUGCAACUCGACUCCAUGAAGCUGGAUUCGCUAGUAAUCGCGCAUCAGCCACGGCGCGGUGAAUACGUUCCCGGGCCUUGUACACACCGCCCGUCAAGCCAUGGAGGCCGGGGGUACCUGAAGUGCGUGACCGCAAGGAGCGUCCUAGGGUAAAACCGGUGACUGGGGCUAAGUCGUAACAAGGUACC